ACACUCCUACGGGAGGCAGCAGUGGGGAAUUUUGGACAAUGGGCGAAAGCCUGAUCCAGCAAUGCCGCGUGUGUGAAGAAGGCCUUCGGGUUGUAAAGCACUUUUGUCCGGAAAGAAAUCCUUGGCUCUAAUACAGUCGGGGGAUGACGGUACCGGAAGAAUAAGCACCGGCUAACUACGUGCCAGCAGCCGCGGUAAUACGUAGGGUGCGAGCGUUAAUCGGAAUUACUGGGCGUAAAGCGUGCGCAGGCGGUUUGCUAAGACCGAUGUGAAAUCCCCGGGCUCAACCUGGGAACUGCAUUGGUGACUGGCAGGCUAGAGUAUGGCAGAGGGGGGUAGAAUUCCACGUGUAGCAGUGAAAUGCGUAGAGAUGUGGAGGAAUACCGAUGGCGAAGGCAGCCCCCUGGGCCAAUACUGACGCUCAUGCACGAAAGCGUGGGGAGCAAACAGGAUUAGAUACCCGAGUAGUCCCAUGA
rnacentral:rRNA from 1 species